UCUGCUUCUCAGCCUUUUGGCUAAGAUCAAGUGUAGUAUCUAUUCUUAUCAGUUUAAUAUAGCCCUCAACGAUUUGAAUUAGUGGAUGGUUACAUAUCUAGUGCAGUAGAGCUGUCAUUCUCUGGAGUAGAGGGCAAGGGCUCUGAGCUACUGCUAUCAUCAUUAUCAUUUGGGAACUGAUUUGAUAUGCAUAAUUUCAGAUCCUGCUCUAGACAGU
rnacentral:snRNA from 1 species